CGGUCACUAGUCCAACUGGUAGGAGACAACUUCCUCAAAAGAAGUACAGUCCGGGUUCGAAUCCCGGGUGGCCGAC
rnacentral:tRNA from 1 species